rnacentral:rRNA from 1 species
UACGUAGGGAGCAAGCGUUGUCCGGAAUCAUUGGGCGUAAAGCGCGCGUAGGUGGCUCCAUAAAGUCCGUUGUGAAAGUCAAAGGCUCAACCUUUGAAAGCCGAUGGAUACUGUGGAGCUAGAGUACGGAAGAGGCGAGUGGAAUUCCUGGUGUAGCGGUGGAAUGCGCAGAUAUCAGGAGGAACACCAAUAGCGAAGGCAGCUCGCUGGGACGUUACUGACACUGAGGCGCGAAAGCGUGGGGAGCGAACAGG